GUUUGUUUGAACUUUUUUUUUUUUCCUUUUUUCGUUCGAAACAUAACAAAUACUCUUUUGGGACUGUUGUAAGAUUUUUUUCCAUAAGUUAUACAUCCUUCGUUCUUCUAGCAUCACUACGGUGCGAUCACAGAAAGAACUACAAAUCUUUAAUAGCACGAAACAUUUUGCACGAGUGGGAAAUUUUCGGAUGAGUUAUACUCUAGCAAACUUGAGUGCUGUUAUCAAAUACGAAAAUUUUUUUUAUUUAUCAAGCACCAAUUUUGGUAAUCGUGUCCCAGAUGCGCCUUUAGUCACGAUUGACUGUUUAGUUCCAUUCCAACAUCGACCACCUGUAUGUAGUCGUAUGUUCUGUUGCCACGACAACAUUCACCCAACACCCACCUCAGGUGUAUAGCACUCCUUUCACACUUUUUAACAUGAUAAAUCCAUUGUGUUUUCUCGGCAUAAAAAAUAUCCCAUGAAGAAAUAAUAUACAGGUGUAUACAGUAG
rnacentral:lncRNA from 1 species